UACAGAGGUCUCAAGCGUUGUUCGGAUUCAUUGGGCGUAAAGGGUGCGUAGGCGGCGCGGUAAGUCGGGGUGUGAAAUCUCGGAGCUUAACUCCGAAACUGCAUUCGAUACUGCCGUGCUUGAGGACUGGAGAGGAGACUGGAAUUUACGGUGUAGCGGUGAAAUGCGUAGAUAUCGGGAGGAACACCUGUGGCGAAAGCGGCGCACUGGACCAUAACUGACGCUGAGGCGCGAAAGCUAGGGGAGCAAACAGG
rnacentral:rRNA from 1 species